rnacentral:sRNA from 1 species
AAAAUUUAGUAAAAUAUAUUCAAAUAUAAUUAAAUUUAUUAAAACUUAAUAAAUUUAAAAGUUUUUUUUGUUUGGAGACGCACUAUCUACAUACAAAAUACCCGUUUCUAUUUUUAGGGCCUGAAACUUUUUAUCCAAACUGACCCAAACCCAACUGGACCCGACCCGAACCGAAUAUUUAGAAUUAUUCUAUUAGGUAGUAAAUCAUAUACCCAUUAAUCCCAAACCCGAAUGGGUUCUACCCGAACUCGAAUGGGUUACUCAUAUGCCCAGCCCUAUUCUCUGAUUUAAUUAUCUAAAAAAUUUCAAUAAAACAUAUGUUUUGCUGACUACUUUUUAUUCAAAAAAAUUUACAUCCUCUUCUGCCAAAAUCAUUUCAUAAGACAUCCCAAAACCCUUGGAAUAAUGAUUCCAUAAAUGAAGAAUCCUAAUUUGAAUAUACCAAGAGGUUUUGAAAGGUUUUAAGUUUUUGAUAGGUGUGUAUGUGAGAGGUACAUCCAUCGUGAUGGUAAUCUGCUUAUUUAUAAUUUUAACUUGCAUUAUACAGCAGGUAGGCUUAUAUUUUACUUAAACUAAAAACUUUUAUUGUAAAGUUGAUUAUAAAUAUAUGAUAUUAUUUUAUUUUAUUUUAAAUGUAUAGUAAACUGCGAGUUGUAUAUGUUUUGUUGAUAUUAUUUAUAUUGUUUAGUGUUUAAAAUUAUAUACUUGUAUUUUGAUUGUUAAUUUUAUAGUUUCACCUGUAGUAUACCAUCUUGUAUUAAUAUUGAUUUAAACCCGUCAAUUCUAGGAAUUUUCACCUUGUAUUAAAAAUUGAAUCACAUCAUACACAUUAAAAAAUCUAAUAUGAUAAUUCAAAUUGUGGCAUAUGCGAAAAAACUCUAAUUAUUUUUUUAUAACGAUGAUAUUAUUUUUUCACAAAAAUAGAAUCAUAUAAAGAUGAGAGGUGAACUAUAAGAAUUAAUAAAAAAUUAAUAUGAUAAUUUAGAUAUCAAAUCUAAUUUGUUGAUUUUAAUUGGUUACUUUUUUGGAAAUUAAUAAUGUAUUUCGUUUUUGAGUUAAAUUUAAUUAAUUAGUAUUUGACUUUUUAAU